rnacentral:rRNA from 1 species
CGCGUGGGUAAUCUACCUCCGAAUCGGGGAUAACUCGCCGAAAGGCGGGCUAAUACCGGAUAACAUCCUUUAUGCUUCGGCAUUUAAGAUCAAAGGUGGCCUCUACAAGUAAGCUACUGUUUGGAGAUGAGCCCGCGUACCAUUAGCUUGUUGGUAGGGUAACUGCCUACCAAGGCUACGAUGGUUAGCUGGUCUGAGAGGAUGAUCAGCCACACUGGAACUGACACACGGUCCAG